rnacentral:piRNA from 1 species
UGCGAUUGAGUUAACCAAUAUACAAAAGAGA